AGAUUGAACGCUGGCGGCAGGCCUAACACAUGCAAGUCGAGCGGCAGCACGGGUACUUGUACCUGGUGGCGAGCGGCGGACGGGUGAGUAAUGCCUAGGAAUCUGCCUGGUAGUGGGGGAUAACGCUCGGAAACGGACGCUAAUACCGCAUACGUCCUACGGGAGAAAGCAGGGGACCUUCGGGCCUUGCGCUAUCAGAUGAGCCUAGGUCGGAUUAGCUAGUUGGUGAGGUAAUGGCUCACCAAGGCGACGAUCCGUAGCUGGUCUGAGAGGAUGAUCAGCCACACUGGAACUGAGACACGGUCCAGACUCCGUACGGGAGCAGCAGGUGGGAAUA
rnacentral:rRNA from 1 species